rnacentral:tRNA from 1 species
GGGCCUGUAGCUCAAUGGUUAGAGCAUGGCACUCAUAAUGCCGGGGUUCUCGGUUCAAGCCCGAGCAGGCCCACCA